CUCUUUAGCAGCUUCAUGGCCUGCAGAACCUGUGUUCUGAAUCUCGAGCGUUGUACGAGCCUUUUCGAGCACUGUCUCCUUCUGAAGCUUCCAACCUCUUCUUACAGUACUGAGGUUCGUCUAAGGCAGCCCUUAUAAGGCUCUUUUCUGGAAGCUGGAAUCUGGAAUCCGUGGAAUAAAACCUACUUAUCUAAUCUUCUCAGCAUUUAAAAAAGAAACUGCGUUUUUUUCACUUCAGGUUUGGAUCUUUAAAUGAAAAGAUCAUCUUUUUUCUGCGCUGGAUUACUCACCAGGUAAGAUCUUGUAGCUCAUUUACAUUUUCAGGCAUUUACAAAUUACAUACAUGCUUCACAAUUCUUAUCCAUUCACAUAUCUGUAGCACCUAACAUUCAUAUUUACAUGCAUACCGCUUAGACCUUAAACAUCUUAACAACAAUACCGGCAUCGCUAUCUUUCUAAAAGCGAAAUGCACCUUUUCAUGCACAGGCUGAUGAGACCAAUGUGUUAUAAGUGAAAAUAUUAAACUUUGGGUCUAAAAUGUAAAUACAUAAGAAUUGUGUGAUAUGCAUGUAAACUUCUUUAAAAUUUGAAUCUCUCUUCAAUUCCGUCAUCUUAUGGUGUGAUUGCUUGAUUUAUAAGUUGAAUGCCUCAAAAGCUGUGAAUUUCUAGAUUUUUAUCUAUUAUAAUAAGCGCACAUUACUUGCACGUACCUGUAAGCAUAAUGCGUCUUUCCUCCACUUUGGCAUCCUAUUCCUGUCUCAUUUACUUAGAUUUUGGAUCAUUCACACACAUACCAUCCAAUUCUUAUGAUUUUACAUAUCUAACAACUAAACUUUUGAUUGUUACAUUUA